rnacentral:lncRNA from 1 species
CGACGGCAUGCCGCCCCGUGCUGGAGGGCCAAUCCGGUUCCUGCUGCUCAUUAAUCCCACAGAACUUCUCAUCUGCUGCACCUGCAGCUCUGCGACGUCUCCGCGCUCCGGCCAAGACGAGGAUGAACGCUGCGUGAAGGAAUAAACUCACGGUUGUCAGAAUUAUGAUGUUUACACAGCGUCGACAGACUCCGCGGUCCAAACACGUCCAACGCGAUAACAUGAGAACAGCAUUCGGGGGAACUCUCCUGGAACGUUCCAGAAAUCCUCCCAGGUUUCAGGAGUUCUGGACCUCAGGACAGUGCAGAAUUAACAAGCUGCAGAUCUCAAGGUCGUUCUCGUACCUUUAGUCCAGUGACGGCUGGCAGCCAUGUGGACCCUGCAGCAGAGGAGCGUCAAGAUGAACACAAGCCUCCAGCUGACCAUGAUGGCCCACUUGGUUUCUUCUGAUCGGUGUCUGGAGAGUAGCUCCAGCCCGGCUGACAUCUGGAAGUCAUCUGGAGCGGCAGCUCUCCUCAGAGCCCAGCUGUCCGUCUCCGAUCCGACUACCGCUGACCCUCAGCAUCGCGCCUCGUCCGCUUCAGGACCGACAAUGCCCCUCCGCCACCUUCCAGCAGGAACCUCCACUCCAGCCAUGCAGACCAGUCGACGUCCUGUCUGAGCAGAUGGAGCCGCGUGGCACCAGCCAAAGGCAACAGCUCAGCGCCUCCAAAAACUCUUCCUGCACUCUGCGCAUUCCUGAGCUGCGGGGACGUCACGGACAACAUGCUCAGAUCUGGUCUGAACUCUUCUUUGUAGAUGUUUUUCACAGCAAGUAACUCCAGAAAAUGUUCAACUUGAAAACCGGCCGGUUAUAGUUUGUGAGUGAAAUGAAAAGCCCCAUCUGACGCAUCAGAAUCCAGGUACAUUACACAACCUUCAUUCUCAGGCCAGAAAUAACAAGAUUGCCCAUACGCAACAUAAAAAAAAUAUAUAUAUUAUGUGACAAUUUACAGUACAGGCCAAA